rnacentral:rRNA from 1 species
UACGUAGGUGGCGAGCGUUGUCCGGAUUUACUGGGCGUAAAGCGCGCGCAGGCGGUUCUCCAAGUCAGUGGUGAAAGCCCGGAGCUCAACUCCGGAAUUGCCAUUGAAACUGUUGAACUCGAGGACGAGAGAGGUGAGUGGAAUUCCCAGUGUAGAGGUGAAAUUCGUAGAUAUUGGGAAGAACACCGGUGGCGAAGGCGGCUCACUGGCUCGUUUCUGACGCUCAGGCGCGACAGCGUGGGGAUCAAACAGG